UAAAUAUUGCAGUGAAUGCAUCAUUCAGUGUGAGGCAUACAAAUACUCAUUACACCAAACUGAAUGUUAACCAUCUGCAAGAAUGUGAAUUUUAACUAUGCAUUUUCACAAGGUGGCAACAGUUAAAAAUUGCUAGUCAAUGCCCAUAUGCAAUGAAGGAGUCAAGAGACAGAAAUGACACUUUUAAAAUGUGUCCUUGGAAAUGCAUUCAGUCCAGAAACAAGGAAUAGACAAGGGCAGAGGAUGUGAGAUGUAAUACAGAAUGAAACUAUUAUGUAAGAAACCAGAAAGUAAAAUAAUUUGCAAACUGAGAGGAAAAUAGUAGAGAGAAGAAAACAUAUGCUCUCUACAGGAAAAGAAAGAUGUGGGUCUGUGUUAUGAGAACUUCUUCACAAAGAAGCAUCAGUAAGCAGAGAGGACAGCUGACAGCUAACUCAAAGUGACCAAGGGGGUUACUCCAUGAAAUAUAAUGUUAUUUCUCAGCAGUAAAAUCUGGAGGAAAGGAGGUCAUUUUGAGUUAUGGUGUUUGUCUUGUUGUAGUAAGCGUCUUGCGGGGGCACGGGAUGUAUGGGACAGGCUUCUCCCUAAGCAUAGAGAGACAGUGCUAUCGUGCUGACCUUGAUACAGAGAAAACAGGAGAAGAAGAAGAAUGAGAAAAGAAUGUGGAGACGGCCAAAUAGGGCAUGGUGUUGUCUGGUAUGAACCAAUCAGAGUGGGACAUGACAGCACAGUUUUGUAGGUAAAAAUGUAAUAUAAGCUGUGUUUAGUAGUGAAUAGAGGCCAUUUUACCGCUCAUCAUAUUGGUGUCACCUCGGUAUGUGGCCAAGCCGCAGGCUCCCCUAAGCAACGAACAUCACGGUUGCCUGCAGAAGGCAACAAGUGGUGACCCCUGACGUGAUGCUUAGGGGAACGAGUCGGCUGUCUGCUUGACGAGGCAGGAGCCCACCGCGGGGCGUUAGCACUUGCUGGGCGGUGGAAGCCCGGGGGCCGAGCCCGGGGACAGAGGGAAUCUGCAGUCACCCCUCUGUCGGCGGAGGUCAUGGACGAGCGACGGAUAUAGCCUCCGGGAUCACGCCGGAGAAGAGCCUGGGAUCCUGGUCUCAAUUGGGAGGAGGAUCGGGGGCGUCAUGGAAGCCGUCAUAAAGGUGAUCACUCACGCGUGUAAGACCUAUCACGGGAAGCAUGCUCCUUCUCAGAAGGAGAUUGCUGCGGUCCUCUCUUUGCUUGAGAAGGAGGGGCUGUUAACAUCGCCCCACGAUAUUUGUGACCACAAUAAUUGGGAUUCGUUUACCGCUGCCUUAUCCCAACGAGCAAUGGUCUCUCAGAUAACAGUGGAGUUAAAAACUUGGGGUCUGAUACUGGGGGCGUUGAAAGCGGCCAGAGUUGAGGGAAAGGUAUUGGUGGAGGCUCGAUACCUUUUGGGUCUCAGCGGAGGAGGUGAGACACAGGACCCGGUCGGGUCCGAUGGGGGUUCGGGAGCAGUUUCUUGCAGGGGCCGAGAGGAGACGGAGCCGCCAAUGACCGUUGGCGGGAUGGCGCCGGCUGAGCCGACCGCGCUCAGUUCAAAAGAAGACAAACAACAAGAGAGUGAAAGUUCGUUGUCUCGUCCCCCUCUCCCGUAUCCACACCCCUCAGGCGGAACGUUGUAUCCUUUAUCAGAAUUACGUCAGUGUUACCUGACUCAAGAGGGCGGAGGAAGCUGUGAUCUACACGGGCAGGAUCAACUUAGUGCCCACAUGGGGAGGGACCAGACAAAAGGUCCGUCCAAUGCGGACAGGGGGCAUAGCCUACUGUCUCUGGUCACUCCCAGGGGCGGUAGUGCGAGUGAUAGUGUAGAGGAGAAAGAAGGGACUGGCUUUGAGUGCAGGGGGAGGGAUCAAAUGACGGACUGGAAUGGGAUUAGAUCGGAGGCUUUGGGAAAGGGUAUAGUUCCAGAGGCAUUCCGGGUGAUUGUGAGUGAUCGUGGUCCCGAAUGGGUGCCGCCUGACCCCGGGGGUGUUACGCGCCUGGUGGAAUUUAUGGAUAAAAGAGGCCUGAAAUCGCCUCUGACAUUAAAUGCACUACAAACUUUGGCUGCACUGGGGCCUCUCUUCCCCCGUGACAUCACAAACUUAAUGCGUACGGUGCUCAGGCUGGUUCAGUAUACGUUAUGGGAGACGGACUGGGUGGCCGAGUUGGGGGGCCGUGCCGGGGCGACAGGGGUCGGCUCGCGCCGCUCCCUGCAUGGGACCGGAAUCCAGCGGCUUUCAGGGAAGGCCGUGGGAGUGGCUUCGCCCCAGGGCCAGCUAGCGAGACUAAGGCCAGGGGAGCUAAUAGCAGCCACAAAUGCAACGGUGGAAGCGUUUAAUAAACUUGUGCAUAAGGCCGAACCACCUACUCCGUGCACAGAUAUUACCCAGGGCCCGAAUGAAUCCUUUCAAAGCUUUACAGACAGGCUUUUAGCUGCUGCAGAGGGGUCUGAUCUCCUGGAACCGGCCCAAGGGCCAGUGAUCAUUGACUGCUUGCAGCAGAAAUCGCAUGACAAUGUUAAGGCAUUGCUGCGAGCCGGCCGAAGUACGCUUAAUACCUCGGGAGCCGGCCGAAGUACGCUUAAUACCUCGGGAGAAGUUAUUCAGUAUGUCUUAGAUAAGCUCAAGGUGGCUCAUUUAACUAAUGAAAGGCUAGUCACAGCUAUUGUCGUAGCUGCUGGCCUGCGACAGCAAAGAUCGCUGCAGCAGCAAGGGCUGUGUUUCCGAUACGGCCAGUAUGGCCAUGUUAGAGCACAAUGCCCCUGUGGGGGAGGCCAGUCAGGGCCUCCUGAUCACAGGAAGGGCUUGCUGAAGGGUAUCCGUGGUCGGGUAUGCAGCAGUUAAACAUCAUGAAUCUGGGAAAUUCUGUGGGUACCAUCGCGAAAAGUAAUACCAGAUAUAAGUAGCAUAUCUGCAAAAACUGAGUCUAGGUGCGAGUUUUCUACAGAAAUUCUUCGUUGGCAGACCGAAGCCAACUCCAGAACAACUGAGGGACAGACGAUGGGAUCAAGAACCACUCGUCAAGAGGAGCACUACACCUGCAACGCUGACACUUCCGAUGUUGCUGAUAUUUAUGGUGUCCAUGGCGAUUACAGAGUGUCACAAACAACUACAAUGGACACAAGAACAUAUGCAGAAAAUUAAAGAAGAGCGUGAUCCCUUUGGAAGCUGGCUGGACGGACUGUUUGGGGGAACGGGUUCAUGGUUAAAGCAAUUGCUUAAAGCUCUCGCAGUAGGAUUUGCAAUCUUUGUGUGUAUUCUAAUCUGUCUUCCAUGCUUUGUAGGAUGCUUGCAGAACUGCCUUCAACGAAUGAUGGACAAGACUUUUGACUAUCACAUUGAGUAUCAUAGAUUGCGUGAAAAAUUAUAGAGGGGUUUAGGUUGUUGCGUUCGUGCUGUAACGGGGCAAGGCUUGGCCGAGCACGGGAAAGAAUUCCCUGUUGCUCUGAUGAUUGCUUAAGAACUGUAGUAGAAAAUAGUAGGAAUAGUGUGCUGAAAUAUAUUUAGGAUUAGGCGUUUUGCGCUGCUUCGCGAUGUACGGGUUAGGUGUGUGUGUAAGUAGUAUCUAGCUUAGGGAGGGGGAGAUGUUGUAGUAGGCGUCUUGCGGGGGCACGGGAUGUACGGGACAGGCCUCUCCCUAAACAUAGAGAGAUAGUGCUAUCGUGCUGACCUUGUUGCAGAGAAAACAGGAGAAGAAGAAGGAUGAUAAAAGAAUGUGGAAAUGGCCAAAUAAGGCACAAUGUUAUCUGGUGUGAACUAAUCAGAGUGGGACAUGACAGCACGGUUAUCUAGGUAAAAAUGUAUAUAAGCUGUGUUUAGUAGUGAAUAAACGCCAUUUGCCUCACUUACUCCUGGGGUCUGGGUGAGCAUCUGGCCCCGACCUGGUAAAGGGUCGGUUUCGCCCAGCAGUAAGCCCUACAUGUGGACAGAGGACGAACACCGGACGAGCGAACGGAGACUACAUGCAACAUAAUUUAUU
ensembl:lncRNA